rfam:Sporosarcina newyorkensis 2681 genomic scaffold SCAFFOLD1, whole genome shotgun sequence.
AUUCAUCUUCGGGGCAGGGUGUAAUUCCCGACCGGCGGAAAUAAAAUAGUCUUCUAUUUUUAGCCCGCGAGCUUAACAGCUGAUUCUGGUGAGAUUCCGGAGCCGACAGUAUAGUCUGGAUGGGAGAAGGUGAAG